CCUACGGGAGGCUGCAGUGGGGGAUAUUGCACAAUGGGGGGAACCCUGAUGCAGCGACGCCGCGUGGGUGAAGAAGCGCCUCGGCGCGUAAAGCCCUGUCAGCAGGGAAGAAAAUGACGGUACCUGAAGAAGAAGCCCCGGCUAACUACGUGCCAGCAGCCGCGGUAAUACGUAGGGGGCAAGCGUUAUACGGAUUUACUGGGUGGAAAGGGGGCGCAGACGGCGAUGCAAGCCAGGAGUGAAAGCCCGGGGCCCAACCCCGGGAAUGCGCUUGGAACUGCGUGGCUGGAGUGCAGGAGGGGCAGGUGGAAUUCCUGGUGUAGCGGUGAAAUGCGUAGAUAUCAGGAGGAACACCGGUGGCGAAGGCGGCCUGCUGGACUGCAACUGACGUUGAGGCCCGAAAGCGUGGGGAGCAAACAGGAUUAGAUACCCGGGUAGUC
rnacentral:rRNA from 1 species